GUUAUUUGCAUUUUUAUCUUUAAUGCCACAAAUGCAGCUAUUUUCAAAUUGUAUUUUUAAAAAAUGCUAAUGAUGAAAUUAUAGUAGCAGUAAGAAUUCAAGCAGGCUAUAUUUUGUGGCUUAACAUGCAACAUUUGUUGAUAGCUUUUCAGGUUUCCUUUUGGCUACUUCAAAUGUAUCUGCUUUGUUCUCUAUAUUGCCUUCUAGGGAAAGCAAGGCUUCUCACUAUUUAUUUCAAUCCUUCCCAUCUUGUUUCUAUAGUACUCAUGGCUUCCAGAAGGCAUCACAUAACUCUUCUCCAAAUAUUGAUCCUCAAUGAACUGAAAACCUGAUAUUCAUACCUUAAUGUGAUUUUCUUUCCACUGAACCUGAGCUGGAGUGAUAGAAUAAUAUGGAGGAAACUGAAAUUCAUUUCAGAUGCUUUAUAUAGUAAUGGAAAGUUGAAAACACUGUCACCUGUGUAAUGGGAAAAGAUGUGUUCAGUGUCACUGCUCCAUCUGAAGGCCCAUGUUGACUUGUCUUCACCUGACACACUGCUCCUCGUCACAUACGAACUUGUUCUGGUGAAGACACAGGAUUGAGGGCACCCUCAAGAGCCAAGCCUGAUUUUACAAAUAAUCUUGGAAUUGUUUUAGGAGUGGAUAUUUUGGUGGAUAGUACAUGAGGUACAUAAAUGCUGCCUACAAUUCAAAAUUCCUAAAACCAUACAGGACUGAGCCAGGAAAUUGAAGUUUUACCCAAAUUGUAUUAGAACAAGGAAGAAAGCCAAGUAAAUAUCUGUGCGAUGAAAUUUCUGGAAAAAGAAAGGAGGUCUGGAGAUAAAAAAAAUUAUUUUCUCAAAAAGAGAAGAAGCCGUAGAAAGGCCCUGAGAAACAGAAAAGGAGAACAGGCAAGGGCAAGAAAAAAAUGGAGUAUGAUUUUGGCUGAAGUUAUCCAUUCUGACUUUCAAGGAGAAGUGUGGUUGCUGCUACAGAAUGUCAGUGGUGCUAAUGUUGGCAUCUAGAGGUGCCUUCCCAGUGAUGCCUCUGAAUUCAGCUGAAGCAUCCAUAGUUCUAUUCCUCAAGGAAACAUUCUGGAGGGAGAUUUGGUUAUUCUUAGAUAUGUGGAAAGCACCCUUCGCAGCCAUUGGUUGCUACUAUGAAAAUGUUCUCAAUAAAUUUCUUUUGUGUUUAUUUUAGCCA
rnacentral:lncRNA from 1 species